rfam:Aedes albopictus isolate Foshan contig82051, whole genome shotgun sequence.
AGUUCUGUGGCUUAGUUGUUUGAAGUGCCGGACUAGCGAUACGGAGUCGCGGGUUCGAAUCCCACCAAAACUA